GGGGUUGUGGCUCAGUGGAAGAGCGCUUGCCUAGCAUGUGAGAGGCACUGGGUUCGAUUCACAGCACCACA
rnacentral:tRNA from 1 species